rnacentral:rRNA from 1 species
UACGAAGGGGGCUAGCGUUGCUCGGAAUCACUGGGCGUAAAGGGUGCGUAGGCGGGUCUUUAAGUCAGGGGUGAAAUCCUGGAGCUCAACUCCAGAACUGCCUUUGAUACUGAGGAUCUUGAGUUCGGGAGAGGUGAGUGGAACUGCGAGUGUAGAGGUGAAAUUCGUAGAUAUUCGCAAGAACACCAGUGGCGAAGGCGGCUCACUGGCCCGAUACUGACGCUGAGGUGCGAAAGCGUGGGGAGCAGACAGG